CGCUACAAAGAAAAGAAAAGUCUUAUGUGAGUGAUACCAAUCGGACACACUUGGAAAAAAGGAAUCAUCAGUUAAUAAUACAAUACUGCUCCUCUCAGUUCAGUAAAGAGAGUUGUAGGUUCGUAGAAAAGGAAAAGAGCCUAGGUGGACCAUUGUUCCUGGUUGGACUUGCACUAUUAGUAUCUCCUUGUUCGUGCUCCCCUACUAGGGAACACACUAGACCCAAUGCCCCCAAGUGAAAGCGCUGUGCUGCAUGGAAGCCGUCAUUACUCCGGGAAAUAAGAGGAAAGGAAAGGGGGACAUUGAAUAUCUUCACAAAUACCUUUAUGAGCAGCUGUCACGCUUAUAGCAAUGAUU
rnacentral:lncRNA from 1 species